rnacentral:rRNA from 1 species
GACGAACGCUGGCGGCGUGCUUAAGACAUGCAAGUCGUACGAGAAAGUCUCUUCGGAGAUGAGUAAAGUGGCGCACGGGUGAGUAACGCGUGGGUAAUCUGCCCUUAGGUUUGGGAUAACCCCGGGAACCGGAGCUAAUACCGAAUGAGACCACGAUGACUUCGGUCGAUGUGGGAAAAGGUGGCCUCUUCUUGAAAGCUAUCGCCAAAGGAUGAGCCCGCGUUUGAUUAGCUAGUUGGUGAGGUAAUGGCUCACCAAGGCGACGAUCAAUAGCUGGUCUGAGAGGACGAUCAGCCACACUGGAACUGAGAUACGGUCCAGACUCCUACGGGAGGCAGCAGUCAGGAAUAUUGGGCAAUGGGCGAAAGCCUGACCCA